rnacentral:lncRNA from 1 species
AGGGUUAGGGUUGGAGCUAGGGUUAGGGUUAGGGUUAGGGUUGGAACUAGGGUUAGGGCUAGGGUUAGGGUUGGAGCUAGGGUUAGGGUUAGGGUUAGGGUUGGAGUUAGGGUUAGGGUUAGGGUUGGAGUUAGGGUUGGAGCUAGGGUUAGGGUUGGAGCUAGGGUUAGGGUUAGGGUUAGGGUUAGGGUUGGAGUUGGAGUUAGGGUUGGAGCUAGGGUUAGGGUUAGGGUUAGGGUUGGAGCUAGGGUUAGGGUUAGGGUUAGGGUUGGAGUUAGGGUUGGAGCUAGGGUUUGGGUUAGGGUUAGGGUUGGAGCUAGGGUUAGAGUUAGGGUUGGAGUUAGGGUUGGAGUUAGGGUUGGAGCUAGGGUUAGGGUUGGAGUUAGGGUUGGGGUUAGGGUUAGGGUUGGAGUUAGGGUUGGAGCUAGGGUUAGGGUUAGGGUUGGCGCUAGGGUUAGGGUUAGGGUUAGUGUUGGAGUUAGGGUUGCAGCUAGGGUUAGGGUUAGGGUUAGGGUUGGAGCUAGGGUUAGGGUUAGGGUUGGAGUUAGGGUUAGGGUUAGGGUUAGGGUUUGAGUUAGGGUUAGGGUUGGAGCUAGGGUUAGGGUAAGGGUUAGGGUUGGAGCUAGGGUUAGGGUUAGGGUUAGGGUUUGAGCUAGGGUUAGGGUUAGGGUUGGAGUUAGGGUUAGGGUUGGAGUUAGGGUUGCAGCUAGGGUUAGGGUUAGGGUUAGGGUUGGAGCCAGGAUUAAGGUUAGGGUUAGGGUUGGAGUUAGGGUUAGGGUUAGGGUUGGAGCUAGGGUUAGGGUUAGGGUUUGAGUUAGGGUUGCAGCUAGGGUUAGGGUUAGGGUUAGGGUUGGAGUUAGGGUUAGGGUUAGGGUUGGAGCUAGGGUUAGGGUUAAGGUUUUUGGUUGGAGCUAGAGUUAGGGUUAGGGUUGGAGUUAGGGUUAGGGUUAGGAUAUAGGGGUAUGUGCCACUUUUGACAUGCCGGUUCAUUGCCUUUCCCAUUGAUGAACCGGGCUGAGAUUUGGUCUACCCCCCCCAUUUUCGGGUAUGCUGAAUCUAGAAAUAGUAAUGAACCAGCGAUCGGACAUUCCUAUCAAAAGUUAUUGCGAAGUGAAAAUUUCCCAUUGAAAAUGAAUGGGAGCGGAAAAAUGGCCAAAGUCAGUGUUUGCAAGUGUUGUACUUGUCUGGAAAUGUUGAAAAUGCAUUGUGAGCACGUUUCAGGCCAUUUCCUGUCAUUUGAGGGCGACUUUGCAAAAAGGGGUGUCAUACCGCAUUUGACCAGAGGUGGCGCUGAAACCAGUUCGAGGGUUAGGGUUAGGGUGAGACUUAGGGCUAGGGGUUAGGGUUAGGGCUGGAGCUAUGGUUAGGGUUAGGGUUAGGGUUAAGGUUGGAACUAGGGUUAGGGUUAAGGUUAGGGUUUGAAAAAUCUUCCACCCCCAACAUGCAAGUUUCAGCGCUCUACGACCUACAAAAUGCAUAUAGCUAUCCCUAACCCUAACCCUAACUCCAACCCUAACCCUAACCCUAGCUCCAACCCUAACCCUAACCCUAACCCUAGCUGCAACCCUAACUCCAACCCUAACCCUAACCCUAACCCUAGCUCCAACCCUUACCCUAACCCUAGCUCCAACCCUAACUCCAACCCUUACCCUAACCCUAACCCUCGCUCCAACCCUAACUCCAACCCUAACCCUAACCCUAACCCUAGCUCCAACCCAAACCCAAACCCUAACCCUAGCUCCAACCCUAACUCCAACCCUAACCCUAACGCUAACUCCAACCCUUACCCUAACCCUAACUCCAACACUAACCCUAACCCCAACCCUUGCUCCAACCCUAACCCUAACCCUAAACAUAGCUCCAACCCUAACCCUAACCCUAGCUCAAACCCUAACUCCAACCCUAGCUCCAACCCUAACUCCAACCCUAACCCUAACCCUAACCCUAGCUCCAACCCUAACCCUAACCCUAACCCUAGAUGCAACCCUAACUCUAACCCUAUCCCUAACACUAACCCUAUCUCCUACCCUAACCCUAACCCUAGCUCCAACCCUAACCCUAACCCUAGCUGCAACCCUAACUCCAACCCUAACCCUUACCCUAACCCUAGCUCCAACCCUAACCCUAACCCUAACUCCAACCCUAACCCUAACCCUAACCCUAGCUCCAACCCUAACCCUAACCCUAGCUCAACCCUAACCCUAACCCUAACCCUAGCUGUAACCCUAACCCUAACCCUAACCCUUGCUCCAACCCUAAACCUAACCCUAACCCUAGCUGCAACCCUAACUCCAACCUUAACCCUAACCCUAACCCUAGCUCCAACCCUAACCCUAACCCUAACCCUAGCUCCCACCCUAACUCCAACCCUAACCCUAACCCUAACCCUAGCUCCAACCCUAUCCCUAACCCUAACCCUUGCUCCAACCCUAACCCUAACCCUAACCCUAGCUGCAACCCUAACUCCAACUCUAACCCUAACCCUAACUCCAACCCUAACCCUAACCCUAACCCUAGCUCCAACCCUUACUCCAACCCUAACCCUAACCCUAGCUCCAACACUAACCCUUACCCUAACCCUAGCUCCAACCCUAACCCUAACUCCAACCCUAACCCUAACCCUAACCCUAACUCCAACCCUAACCCUUACUUUAACUCCAACCCUAACCCUAACCCUAACCCUAGCUCCAACCCUAACCCUAACCCUAGCUCAACCCUAACCCUAACCCUAACCCUAGCUGCAACCAUAACUCCAACCAUAACCCUAACCCUAACCCUAACUCCAACCCUAACCCUAACCCUAACCCUAGCUCCAACCCUAACCCUAACCCUAACCCUAGCUGCAACCCUAACUCCAACCCUAACCCUAACCCUAACCCUAGCUCCAACCCUAACCCUAACUCCAACCCUAACCCUAACUCCAACCCUAACCCUAACCCUAGCUCCAACCCUAACCCUAACCCUAACCCUAGCUGCAACCCUAACCCCCACACUAACCCUAACCCUAACCCUAGCUCCAACCCUAACCCUAACCCUAGCUCCAACCCUGACUCCAACCCUAACCCUAAUCCUAACCCUGGCUCCAACCCUAACCCUAGCUCCAACCCUAACUCCAA